rnacentral:rRNA from 1 species
AAAACAACAGUCUCAGUUCAGAUUGUAGGCUGAAACUCGCCUAUAUGAAGUCGGAAUUGCUAGUAAUCGCGGAUCAGCAUGCCGCGGUGAAUACGUUCCCGGGCCUUGUACACACCGCCCGUCACACCAUGAGAGUCGAUAACACCCGAAGCCUGUAGUCUAACCUUAGGGGGGACGCAGUCGAAGGUGGGAUUGAUAAUUAGGGUGAAGUCGUAACAAGGUACC